rnacentral:lncRNA from 1 species
AGAUAAAACUUAGGGAGUGCCAGUAACUCAAGUUUCUUAAAAACUAGCUAAAUUCAUAGAAAUAGAGGAGACUUACCAUGAUUCCAGGGACAGCUGGGGGGAUCCUCCUUUGAAGGAGACUUAGAGUAUAGUCCGCGACUUGCUGAGGAGUGGCCCUGUCUUUGCAUUCAGCACCAGGGGUGACCAUGCUCGGCUUCAGGAGGAUACCCUCGAACAUGACAUUGUUCUCAGCCAAAUAAAAGAAGACCUCAGCCCAAACCUUCUGUGCUACCUCAAAAGUCCUGUCAAUACCAUGUUCACCGUCUAACAAAAUCUCUGGCUCCACAAUUGGGACCAAACCACUGUCCUGAGAAAUGGCAGCGUAGCGAGCCAAGCCCCAUGCUGCUUCCUUCACAGCUAAUGCAGAUGGUCCGUUGGGAAUGCUCACCACGGUACGCCUGCAUAAGUUACCAUAAUUUUAGCACAUAUCAUCUUAAACAUAACAAAGUCAAUAUUUUUGAAAAUUACGAGGCAUUGUUGAACAUACCAUUUGGCGAAACGUGCACCCUGUUGGUAGUAUGCAGCAGUGCGGGAGGCAAGACCAUCAAGACCUUGACACCAUGACUCAUCAUUUGAACCAGCAAGGGGAACCAAACCCUGGUAACAGAUAAAAUGAUUAGGGGAUUUUGAUAGAAAUCUCAUUCCAGUCCAAUUCAUCAUUAAACUUGAAAUCCUCUCCUUUAACAUUCUGUACAUAGGCUGAUUAAUUCUUGUCUGAGCUAGUUUCACCACAUCAACAACUCUAAGUUGAACAAGUUAAAGUUUAUUUAAGAAUAAAACUUAAAGUUUGAACACCCUAUAACAAGCUCUUGCUACCAGAGGCGGACCUAUGUGUUAUAGUGUGGGGUCACCGGAUGCCGAAAACUUCGGUAGAAAUCUUGUAUGUGUAUAUGUAUAUACCUUGAAAAUGGUAAUUUAAAGCACUUAGCACCCUGAAUAUUAAAAGCCUUUAGUUGAGCAGAGUAUUGUGCCCCCGUCGCGUAAAAAUCCUGGGUCCAUCUCUCCUUGCUACCCAUACAUAACCUUGCCUUUCCUCUUUCUUGUUACUACAACUACAAUUACACCUUAAUUCCAAGCAAGUUGGGGUCGGCUAUAUAGAUCCUCAAACGUUAUGUCAUUCGAUUUAAGCUCAUCUGAGACCAAUAUUAUAUGAAUAAAAAUAGGAGUUACUAAAAGUUCACUAUACAUUUUACUGGCAUUGUUUCCUCUUUAUAGUUGUCCUUUUUUUUCCUUAAUCAAGUUGUGGGUUGUAGGUUAAUAUACCUUGUCAACUUUGAUACCAGGAACAAUGUUUUGUUCAACAAGAACAUCAACUAUUUUGCGGCCAUCAACGGUUGAUUGGUAGAGAGUCUCCUCGAAAAGAAUAGCACCAGAGAUGUACUGUCCAAGUCCUGGAGCUGUCACAAGCAGGGUACGGUAAGCUUGGCGGUUAGCCUCAGUGUUUUCCAAACCAAUGGAAGCCAAACGCUUUCCACAGGUAGCAUUGGAUUCAUCCAUAGCCAAAAUUCCGCGUCCUGGUGAUGCAACGGUUUUCUACACACAACAAACACUUCAUUGUUAAAGCCUUAUUCCAUUUAAGAUUAUAACUCAAUUUCAAGGCGAAUUCAACAUGAAACUAAACAGGUUCAAAAUUCUGAAUUUUUUGUAAAUAUGGGUUUGAAAUUGGUAUUUAUAGGAGUACUACUUUUCGGUAUUUUCACAUACAUAUUGCAAAAGACGGUUUAACUAAACCUAUUUCUAUUAAUCUAGUUAAACUAUCAUAUUGAAAACUUUAUUUUGUGAGUGUACGGAACACAAACUCUCUUUAGAGUUUAAGUUUAUCCAGUGAAAGUGUAAGGAAUUUGUAUGCACUCAAAGGCGUAAAGCAACAACAACAACAACAACAACAACCCAGUAGAAUCCGACUAGUAGAGUCUGGGGAGGGUAGAGUGAACGACAACCUUACCCCUACCGACUAGUAGAGUCGGCGUAAAGCAAUUAAUUGGAAACUAUUUCAAGCAAAUGCGCAUUCCCCCUUUUCUUGACGGAAUAGCUAAUUGAUGUACCUGAGAUGCAUGCAUUUCCUCUAGCUCCUCGAGAAGACAUUAUAUGAGCUGGAUUAGAAGGGCCAGUCAUCCCAAAAUUUAAUUUAGCCUUUUCAUGCUUACUAUAACUAGUUAUUUCAGUUUUCUACCAGCAACUUUAACUAUAAGCUCAACUCUAUUCAGUGUUUGGGCAAGAUACCACUAAUUUAAACUGAACAUCUAAAAUGAACAACUCAUAAGAAGAAAUCUUUCAAUUUAACCGGUUAUAACAGACUAUUACUCUAUUUUUCAGGUCAUCAAAUCAGGCUAGAUAUAUAGAGAACUACAUAUUGUUUUAGGUCAAUUUAAGCCGAUAGCGAAAAAAAUCUUUACACUGGCAGUGCGUAGAACUUAAACUUGCUAAGUUAAAACUUACAGCGGUCUUAACAAGCUCAUCAGCAUAUGGAGAAGCAGCGCGGACAGUGAGAGAAGGAGCAUUGGUGGGGUGGCAGCGAACAACUGAGACAGAAGUUUGACGAAGGCUUUGCCCUUUAACAAACUCAGACUUGUCAAGAACUGUUGGGGAUGAUUUUAGUAGAGAUGCUGAGGCCAUUUUUUUCUAACUUUUUUUUCUUCUCUCUACUACAAUCUCCUUAUCUCAGCACACUCUCUUCUCACUGUUACUCUUU